rnacentral:rRNA from 1 species
CUACGGGGUGCUCCAGUGAGGAAUCUUGCGCAAUGGGGGCAACCCUGACGCAGCAACGCCGCGUGAGUGAAGAAGGCCUUCGGGUCGUAAAGCUCUGUCAAGUGGGAAGAAUAGCCUUGAGACGAAUAAUCUCGAGGUGUGACGGUACCACUGGAGGAAGCACCGGCUAACUCCGUGCCAGCAGCCGCGGUGAUACGGAGGGUGCAAGCGUUAUUCGGAAUUAUUGGGCGUAAAGGGCGUGUAGGCGGCCAGACAAGUCAGAUGUGAAAGCCCGGGGCUCAACCCCGGAAGUGCAUUUGAAACUGUUUGGCUUGAGUGCGGGAGAGGAAAGCGGAAUUCCCAGUGUAGAGGUGAAAUUCGUAGAUAUUGGGAGGAACACCGGUGGCGAAGGCGGCUUUCUGGACCGACACUGACGCUGAGGCGCGAAAGCGUGGGGAGCAAACAGGAUUAGAUACCCGAGUAGUC